AUUAAAAACCAAUGCCCUUCGGGGCUCUCUGGUGAUUCAUAACAACUUCUCGAAUCGCACGGCCUUGCGCCGGCGAUGGUUCAUUCAAAUUUCUGCCCUAUCAACUUUCGACGGCUGGGUCUUGGCCAGCCGUGGUGACAACGGGUAACGGAGGGUUAGGGCUCGACCCCGGAGAAGGAGCCUGAGAAACGGCUACUACAUCCAAGGAAGGCAGCAGGCGCGCAAAUUACCCAAUCCCGACACGGGGAGGUAGUGACAAUAAAUACUGAUACAGGGCUCUUUCGGGUCUUGUAAUUGGAAUGAGUACAAUUUAAAUCCCUUAACGAGGAACAAUUGGAGGGCAAGUCUGGUGCCAGCAGCCGCGGUAAUUCCAGCUCCAAUAGCGUAUAUUAAAGUUGUUGAGGUUAAAAAGCUCGUAGUUGAACCUUGGGCCUAGCCGGCCGGUCUGCCUCACCGCGUGCACUGGCUCGGCUGGGUCUUUCCUUCUGGAGAACCGCAUGCCCUUCACUGGGUGUGCC
rnacentral:rRNA from 1 species